rnacentral:lncRNA from 1 species
UUUUAAAAAUUUUUUUUUUUUUUUUUUUUUGAGAUGGAGUCUCGCUCUGUUGCCCAGGCUGGAGUGCAGUGGUGCAAUCUCGGCUCACUGCAAGCUCCGCCUCCCGGGUUCAAAGCAAUUCUCCUGUCUCAGCCUCCCAAGCAGCUGGGAUUACAGGCGUGGUGGUGCACACCUGUAAUCCAAGCUACUCAGGAGGCUGAGGCAGGAGAAUUGCUUGAACCCAGGAUGCAGAGGUUGCAGUGAGCUGAGAUUGCGCCAUUGCACUCCAGCUUGGGCAACAAGAUCAUCAUCUUUAGAUAAUCUGUUCAUCUUUAGAAACUUGGUCUCAAAAAACAGAAAACAAACAAAAAAAAGAAAUAUCUCUUUUGGUGCCUAUUUUAAUUGCAUAUUUCUUUGUAAGAAGCAGGUAUAUCAGGGAUUAAUAGUUUUUAUCUUUUUUUUAAAGGUGCCUCUCUCAAGAGCAUAAUGGCUUCUCCUUACACAUUGAUAUGUAAAAUAUACUUACUUUUAGAACACAUGAAUCAUUGCAUCAUCCUUUUAUUCUUUACCACAUUGAUGCUGUGUUGAAAAGCCUCUGAACCUUGCUGGAAUACUGUCCAACCUCAGAGGUUGUAUAUGUCAUUUUCAUUUCACAAAAUUAGCCCUUUUAUCGCAGCCAUUAAAACAUACAUUUGGCCAGGCGCGGUGGCUCACACCUAUAAUCUCAGCCUCCCGAAUAGCUGGGACUACCGGCAUACACCGCGACACCCAGCUGUGUUUAAAAAAUUUUUUUUUGAAGAGAUAGGGAUCUCACUGUGUUGCCUGGGCUGGUCUCAACUCAUGGGCUCAAGCGAUUCUCCCCCUCCAGCCUCCCAAAAUGCUGGGAUUACAGGCAGUAGCCACCGCUUCCAGCAGGAUUUGAUAUUUUAAAAAAGCAUUUUUCUCCCAAAAAGUAGCCUCUUUAAGGUUUUUGUAUUAUGGAACUUUCUCUAAAUGUAAUAGAAGAAUUUAAUUAUCUGGGCGUGGUGGCUCACGCCUGUUAUCCCAACACUUUGGGAGGCCGAGGUGGGUGGAUCACCUAAGGUCAGGGGAUCGAGACCAUCCUGGCUAACACGGUGAAACCCCGUCUCUACUAAAAAUACAAAACAUUAGCCAUGUAUGGUAGCACGCGCCUGUAGUCCUACUACAGGAGGCUGAGGCAGGAGAAUCGCUUGAACUCGGGAGGCAGAGGUUGCAGUGAGCCGAGAUUGCGCCACUGCCUUCCACCCUGGGCGACAGAGCAAGACUCUUGUCUCAGG